rnacentral:rRNA from 1 species
CCCUUAGAUGUUCUGGGCCGCACGCGCGCUACACUGAUGCAUUCAACGAGUCUAAAACCUGCUCUGAUAGGGGUGGGUAAUCUUUUGAAUGUGUAUCGUGAUUGGGAUAGAUGAUUGCAAUUUUUCAUCUUCAACGAGGAAUGCCUAGUAAACGCAAGUCAUCAGCUUGCAUUGAUUACGUCCCUGCCCUUUGUACACACCGCCCGUCGCUCCUACCGAUUGAAUGAUCCGAUGAAUAUCAUGGAUUGAGGAUGUAAGCAGGUUCGCCUGUCUUCAUCUUCGAGAAGUGAAGUAAAUCUUAUCAUUUAGAGGAAGGAGAAGUCGUAACA